rnacentral:rRNA from 1 species
CCUACGGGUGGCAGCAGUGGGGAAUAUUGCACAAUGGGGGAAACCCUGAUGCAGCGACGCCGCGUGAAGGAAGAAGUAUUUCGGUAUGUAAACUUCUAUCAGCAGGGAAGAAAAUUACGGUACCUGACUAAGAAGCCCCGGCUAACUACGUGCCAGCAGCCGCGGUAAUACGUAGGGGGCAAGCGUUAUCCGGAUUUACUGGGUGUAAAGGGAGCGUAGGCGGUUUAGCAAGUCAGAAGUGAAAGCCCGGGGCUCAACUCCGGGACUGCUGUUGGAACUAUCAAGCUUGAGUACAGGAGAGGAAAGCGGAAUUCCUAGUGUAGCGGUGAAAUGCGUAGAUAUUAGGAAGAACACCAGUGGCGAAGGCGGCUUUCUGGACUGAAACUGACGCUGAGGCACGAAAGCGUGGGGAGCGAACAGGAUUAGAUACCCCUGUAGUC